rnacentral:ncRNA from 2 species
AAUGACAACUGAUCUGACUCAACACUGGGAAACUUACCAGGUCCAGACAUAGUACGGAUUGACAGAUUGAGAGCUCUUUCUUGAUUCUGUGGGUGGUGCAUGGCCGUUCUUAGUUGGUGGAGUGAUUUGUCUGGUUAAUUCAGUUAACGAACGAGGCAGAGCUGCUAACCAGUUAAGCAAAGGAUUUUUUCCUUUGCGGCCAACUGCUUACAGGGACUAUCGGCGUCUAGCCGAUGGAAGUUUGAGGCAAUAACAGGUCUGUGAUGCCCUUAGAUGUUAUGGGCCGCACGCUACACUAAUGAAUUCAACGAGUUUAUAACCUGGACCGAUAGGUUUGGUAGGUUUGGGUAAUCUUUUGAAAUUUCAUAGUGAUGGGGAUAGAUCAUUGCAAUUAUUGAUUUUCAACGAGGAAUU